rnacentral:rRNA from 1 species
AUUGAACGCUGGCGGCAGGCCUAACCCAUGCAAGUCGAGCGAGCGGCGGACGGGUGAGACAUGUCUGGGAAACUGCCUGAUGGCGGGGGAUAACUACUGGAAACGGUAGCUAAUACCGCAUACCAUCAGAUGUGCCCAGAUGGGAUUAGCUAGUAGGUGGGGUAACGGCUCACCUAGGCGACGAUCCCUAGCUGGUCUGAGAGGAUGACCAGCCACAAGGGAACUGAGACACGGUCCAGACUACUACGGGAGGCAGCAGGGGGGAAUAUUGUACAAUGGGCGCAAGCCUGAUGCCGCCAUGCCGCGUGUGUGAAGAAGGGUUUCGGGUUGGAAAGCACAUUUAGGGGUGAGGCGGUACCCGCAGAAGAAGCACCUGCUAAGUUUGUGGCAGCAGCCGCGGUAAUAC